UUGAUCUGGCGGGGAUGAAAUACCGGUGGUCCGGUCCCGUAGUUUCUGCUCUGCAGGCUUGCGGUACCUGCUGCAGUGGUUUACAUAAAAAAAAUGAAAAGGGGGGGAAAGUGGGCGUGGCCACGGGUCGUGAUUAGGCCACGCCCCCAACUAUGCCGGGCGGCCUGUCAGCGGCCCUGCUUGCUCCUCAUGUAGCUGGCUCCUCUUCGUCUGGCAGCCCCCUUCCAGCGCUCAUGCAGACAUGCACACUUUGCUCCUGCUCAGUCAGAACGGGACCCAGACAGACCCACUGCUGAAACAGAGGAGAAAGGGGUGGUGAGUAUCCAAAUACCAGGAACAACUGCUACACCCUUUUUGUGUAUGCACUUACCUCAAAUGCAUAUUGGUGAAGAGAUAAGCUCGAAACACAGGGGACCCGAGAUGUUCCCACCAGACUCGGAUCCCACAUAGUCAUUCUCCCGGCGUUGAUUUCUCGCGGGACUUCAAUUCUAUAUAAGGCGUCAUGGCCAGGACUCUGCUGUAAAUUGUAAGGCUUGGUGCACUUUAUCCUAGUGCACUUUGUUCAUUUGCAUCUAUAUGCCCUGUGAUCCAUGCUGUCUGAACCAAGCUAGAAGUUAAAAAACUGAAAAUAAAAGGAAAAUAUAUAUUUC